AGAGAAACAUGUGAAGUGAAAUAACCAAAUCCCCAACUUGAAGGCGAUUUCGAAACCCUAAGCCCCAAAUCAAGGAUAUCAAAUACCCAACCAUCGUUCAUAUUUGGACGAGCCUAACCAAAGAGUGGAGAAGCAACACCCAUUUCAUUUAAUUACAUUGACGACGGCGGAGCAGUGGGCAUGCCGAUGGACGAAGAUUACGAGAGGGUUAUGCUCUGAAAUGUGAAG
rnacentral:lncRNA from 1 species